rnacentral:rRNA from 1 species
AUUGAACGCUGGCGGCAUGCCUUACACAUGCAAGUCGAACGGCAGCACGGGGCAACCUGGUGGCGAGUGGCGAACGGGUGAGUAAUGCAUCGGAACGUGCCAUUGAGUGGGGGAUAACGUAGCGAAAGUUGCGCUAAUACCGCAUAUUCUGUGAGCAGGAAAGCAGGGGGAACCGCAAGGCCUUGCGCUCUUUGAGCGGCCGAUGUCAGAUUAGCUAGUUGGUGAGGUAACGGGCUUACCAAGGCGACGAUCUGUAGCGGGUCUGAGAGGAUGAUCGCCACACUGGAACUGAGACACGGUCCAGACUCCUACGGAGGCAGCAGUGGGAAUUUUGGACAAUGGGCGCAAGCCUGAUCCAGCCAUGCCGCGUGAGUGAAGAAGG